rnacentral:rRNA from 1 species
AUUGAACGCUGGCGGCAUGCUUUACACAUGCAAGUCGAACGGUAACAGGCCGCAAGGUGCUGACGUGUGGCGAACGGGUGAGUAAUGCAUCGGAACGUGCCCAGUCGUGGGGGAUAACGCAGCGAAAGCUGCGCUAAUACCGCAUACGAUCUAUGGAUGAAAGCGGGGGACCUGUAAGGGCCUCGCGCGAUUGGAGCGGCCGAUGUCAGAUUAGGUAGUUGGUGGGGUAAAGGCUCACCAAGCCGACGAUCUGUAGCUGGUCUGAGAGGACGACCAGCCACACUGGGACUGGGACACGGCCCAGACUCCUACGGGAGGCAGCAGUGGGGAAUUUUGGACAAUGGGCGCAAGCCUGAUCCAGCAAUGCCGCGUGCAGGAAGAAGGCCUUCGGGUUGUAAACUGCUUUUGUACGGAACGAAACGGCUCUGGUUAAUACCUGGGGCUAAUGACGGUACCGUAAGAAUAAGCACCGGCUAACUACGUGCCAGCAGCCGCCGUAA